CUGUGAAAAUAGAAAAAUUCUCAUGUAAAAUAACGUAAAACUGAAACAAGGACUAUGGUCGUGUCAUAUUCGAAAACUUGGAAAUAACGCCAAACAAUAUGACCAAAUUUCAUGUCCAACAAUGGUGAAACACGUAUGGGUGUUAAGUUGGUAGGAUCUUGGUAUGUGUCGUCAAGGUCGAGUGGAUGGUACAAUUACUUAGGAGAAGGGUAACUGAGGAGAAAUACUUGGGUACAGCACGACCGUCCAAUGGGGUGACGGUGGCUAGGCCAUACGAGGUGGGAGCUCCUCAUUGGACUGUCAUAUCUAACAUCGUCCUACCCAAGUAUGUCUCGUAACUGUGGGAUUAUGCAAGUCACAGGAAAUAGACUAAGAUUCUUCACAUGAAAAGAAGAGCAUGUCUGGCUAAAAAACUAUUUACGUGUCGAGUUUUUAAUAAAAGAUGAAUCCAAAUAAUAUUAAUGCGUAUAUUAAAGACAAAUUUUAAAUACCAUAACACCAUCAUAUUAUGAUAAACAACAAUAACACGAUCAAGGCUGUUUCUGGGCCUUUGAACAACAAACUUGCCACCUGUUUAUCAAUCUAUUCAAAUAAAUUCUAGUACUAAAUUUGAUAUCAUCAAAACAGCCUAAUUCGUUAGCAUCGACAGGUUAUUCAGAUUAUCCACAAGUUACUCAGUUAAUCAGCCUUGAGAGCAAAUUUAGCUCCAUGAAUAUCUACUCAAACCAUGUUUACAAAAUCUUCAAACUAGGUACUACUUCCCAACCCCAACACACGCGCAGAAUAAGAGAGAGAGAGAGAGGGAAGGAGGGAGGGAGAGAGACCUGAGUUCCAGUUGGAGAAAGCAAAGAGUCACGAUCUUUGGAGCCCAAAAGAGAUAACAAUCUGGAGGCAGAGAUUAGCCCAUCUGACUCGUCAUAAAAUACAUCGUCUUCAUUUGUUUUGUGGUUAUUCACUUCUACGUCUUUCACAUCUUCUUCCUUCAUACCUUUCCCUAAAUCUCUCUCUUUCUCUCUCUAUAUCUAUCCUACCCCUCUCUCUCUCUCUCUCUCUCUCUCUCUCUCUCUCUNACAUUAUUUUAUCAACCUAGUAAUUAAAAUGUCUAUGUUAAAAGUUGAAUCUUCUUGAUUAUUGAAUGAUGUGAAAUUUUAGCCCCUAUUUUAUAAUUAUUAUUGGGGGAAAAAUAGUCGUCAAUAGUAAUUUUUAGAAAUAGUGUGGUUAAAAAUUCGGGAAAAUUUUGUGUUUAUGUAUAAAAUAUUUUUAUGAAUAAUGUCCUGAGUACAUGACACUAUUCAUAUAGGGGUCUUACAUGCCCUUCACUAUGGAGGGCAGGUCGAUAGGUCCGACCUGCAUUUAAAAAAAAAUAAAUUCGAGCAGGCCUCGGCCCUUAUGUCUGUUCUGGCAGAGGUCACAGGCAUCCGCCCUGUAUGUGAAUCAUAACCCUAUUUUUAUUGUGCGAAUAUAUAAUUGAAAAUGAGUAUGUAAAAAAAAAAUUCAGAAUAUCCAAUGAAAUAGCAACUGAUAGUCCUUGCGUCCAGUUUCUUUUUAUUUGGCUUAUAGGGCCUUGCCUCAGCUGGACACCCCCAAAUAUGUAUAUGCUUCAAACUAGGCUUCUUGCCCGUCCAAAACUCAUAUAGGGUUCUAUCAAUGGCCUUAGUUAGAACUCUAUUGAGUAUAUAUGCUGCGAUCUUUAAUGCUUCACCCCAGAUAAGAACCGAAAAUAAUGGAUGUUAAACGAGGCUUAAUUUUAAUGUUUCCGCAAUCCAUAUGACUUACUACCUAACCCAACUAAGAUCAUCAAAUAAAGGUAGCUAAAGUAAUGCCUUCACUUCAAUUGAAUCGACGUGUAGAGCUGAACCUCUACGAUUGAGCACGAGGUGCCACGAUUUGUUGCAACCUAUUUUUUUAAAAGAAACAAUAAAUCUUUGUUUCACAAGACAUCGACCAUCGCCUCUUUUAAGAGAUCCUCAAUAUAAGAUCUUCCAUAUGAUUGGUUUGACAUUUUUGCAUUUGUCAAUCACUUUUUUAGAUGUCUAAGCUAAGUCAAAGGGUGGCUAAAUUUUAGAAUCAUCAAAUAAUAUCUUAACUUAGGACUGUAGAGGUGACGCCUAUGAAGUUGGUUUGUCGACUUUCAUGAUGAAGUUACGUGUCAUUCAUUCGCUAGUAACCACGACUUCUUCUCUACUAUAAAUCUCACACUUUGUAUCAUUUAUAGGCAUUGCAACUUUACUCUUUUGAUAAUAACUUUGUUUGGUAUUUUCUCUUAAACUUGGUGUCAUACACAUGUUGUUCACAUCUACCAUACAUCUUACAUCAAAAAUAUAAAUUUAUGGUCGGUUGACUUGAUCGCAAAAGUGCUUGUAGUCGCCUUCCUACGUUCAGAGAAGGUCACAUGCAUCUAACAAUUUGUCCAAAUAUGUAGGAGUCUUACACAUAAAUGUAGGUAGAGCCGUUAUCUAUUGAUAACGUUAUCCAAUCGAAAAUUGAGGUCAAUAAAUUCUAUACUAAAAUGUCAACUUUAUUAAAGGGAAAUUUUACUAUAAAUUACUCGAUUGAACUCUUUUAGCUCAUGUCUAAGAAUUUUUACCUUUAUGUAUUAAAUAAGAUUAAGUAAUUAUGAUUUAUUUAUCUUUUAUUUCUUUGAUUAUUGUGGUGGAAAAAAGAAAAGGAUAAACCAAAUUUGACCUCUUCAAAACUACCACCGCAUUGUUUAGGGUUUGUUUGAACCCUAUUUUUGAGAAAAUAAACUUAGUAAUAAUGAUAUUUAAGAAUGUGAGAUAAAAAAGUAGGGAAAAUUUUUAAGUUUACCUGUAAAAUUAUUUUAGUGGAAAAAUAUAUGAUCGAAAAUGAAUUCGAACAAAAUAUGAGAAUGAAUUUUUAAAGAAUGAGGCUCAAACAGAAUUAAGUGUAAAGUGGAAUUGAACGGUUUACUUUUAUUCUCGAGGGUUAAUACUUAAUAUGCAAUGACGAAUUUAGGACUCAAAUUUAGUACGACUUAAUUUAUUGCAUAAAAUUUUUCACAUAAGAUAUAAUAAUAUUAAAAAGGAAAAUGUAAAAAAGAACUUCAAAUUUCAGUAGGGAUAGGGAAGUUGGGAGCCUUACUAGAAGUGUACAUUGUUCCACUUGGUUCUGAUUUCAAGAGAAUUGAACUGAACCAAACCAUGAACCAAUGAAUUUUUUAUAAUGGAACCAAACCAUUUGAUCCUAAUUUGAUUCCAGAUAUAGUACUGAUUGAGAAAAAAAUAAGAGAACAUUUAAGGUAGAAGAACCAAAAGUUGAGGUUUCCAUUUCAGAAAUCUAUAAGCGUUGGUGGUUGAGGGCGAUGAUAGACGGUAGGCGGCAGUUGGUAUUUAAGUGAGAAUUGGUGUAUAAAUUGAAAAGAAGAGAAAAUGAGAAAUGAAUUAGAGUCUUAGUCUCCAAAAUGAAUUAGGGUCUCUAGUCUAUACAAUGGGAAAUAAGAAAUUGAAGGUAACACGGCGUUUUUAUCUUGAUUUUCAAUUGAAUUAAAAAAAUUUCAGCGCAAAUCAUGAUUUACUAAUUUGUAUCGACUAGAGACUAUAAUUUAAAAAUUGAGUUUGGUUCUUGGUUCUAGAACUAAAAUUGAACCAGAACCAAAUGGUUCUCAAUUCUAAGAACCAAAACCAUUAUUAUUAUUAUUAUUAUAUAUAUAUUUCUUUUCAAGUAGAACCGAACUUAAUCGCUUGGUUUGGUUUGGUUUGAUUUGAUCAUUUUGUUUACCUUUGAGGCUGACUGACGCCACCUCCGUCCGCCAUUGCUAACAAGUGUCCUUUGGACACCCUCCUUUCUAAUCUUCGCAUCUUUUGACCUAUUUUGUCUAAUUCGAAAGGACUACUGGGUCACAAUUUUAGGCCUCAAAUGCCAUUACUUAUUUCAUUUAUAAAAAACCUUUGUAGUUUAAGGUUAACCAGACGAGAACUUAACUAUGUUAUAUUUUAUGUUUUGAAUGAUUAAUUACUAUGUCGUGUUCAUAACAUCAUAUUGCAUCUUUUUUCGUUACUUUAUAUCAUAGUGCUUUUCUCCUAGUUUUAUGAGUAAAAUUGACAACUAUUCAUUGCUAUUUCAUUUAAAUCAUCUUUAACACUAUAUCAAAAUUUAAAGUAAGUUUUACAUUAUUUUACAUCAAUUCUUACAUCAAAUUAAAAAAUAUUUCCAAUCCCUUUAAUCAAAACUUACAUCAAAUGAACAUUGUUUAAUUGGUUUCUUAUUUUUUUCGAUUCUUAAUAAAUUAUUUAUUUGAAAAAAUUAUUUAUUUAUUUAUUUCACAACUACAUAAAGUACUAUAUGACUAAGUUAAAUUAACGAAAAUAUUGAAUUAUUAUUGAUUACUAAAUUAUUCACUUGUUUUAUAUAUUACAUUAAAUUGACAAAAAUAAUCGAUUAUAUUAUUAAUUUAUUACGUUAAAUUAACAAAAAUAAUUACUAAAUUAAAAAUCCUUAAUUGGUAUUGAUUGUAUUACUAAAAUUUAUUAUAAAUGCACAUGAUGAUGAUGAUGAUUUGUUUUAUUAAAAAUAUAUGGGUGGUUAUAUUGUCACAACAAUUUUUAUUUGAUACACUAUAUUUUAAUUGUUGUUAAGCUCCUCAAUCUUCACUCAUUGUAACAAUUAUUUUUUAAUUUUUUUUUGAAUUCUUAUUUUUAACCUUCUAUUAAUUUGUAUGUCUGUCCUUGAUGACGAUUCAUAUCAAAAUAAUUUAUUUUCAUGCUUUGAAAUAAGGGAAUAAUAUUUUUUAGCACUUUUUAUUUAUUUAUUUUAUAAAAAUAUGAUUGAAAAAUAAGUUGUUUUAUAUCAUUUCAACGGACUUUUGAAAAUAAAAUUGUUAUCAAUACAAAAUGUGUUGACUAUUGGAAAGAUUGAGAAUAUGAAUGAUACAAAAUGUGAUAUAAUGAGCAAAGAUUAAAAUUUUAAGUAAAAUUAAAAUGUGGUGCAAGAUAUAAAAAUUGUGAUGUGAAUAAAAUUACUCAAAAUAUAUAACAAAAAUAACAUAAAUACCCCUAACCAAUAUGUUUGAAAAAUGAAAGAGAAUGACAAAAUUGACUUUGCACCAUUUGGUGCAAAAUUGUGCAAGUGAAUAGUGUUGUACCACAUUUGGAGCAACACUAUUUACUUUACAACAUUUUACGAUAAAAUGAUGCAAAUCAUGAUGCUGUAUUGGAGACUUUAUGGUGCAAAAUGGUAUUUUGGGAUCUCCAUUGGAGAUGCCCUUAGUCACCAUCUCUUUCUCUUUGCACAAAUUUCAAAUCGUCUAAUAUAUUCGUCAAAUGAUACAAAGUUAACGAAUGUCCAACUUUUCACUCUUGAUUGGGUCAUUGAAAUCUAAUUUUUCAUUCACUUAAAAAUUGUAUUGGGCACUAACAACUCCGAACAAACCUUUCUCCAACAAAAUCUUUAUUCAUAAAUUUAAAUGUAAAUUAUUUAAGACAUUUUGCUUAUUGUACUAAGGUCUAAAUAUUGAGCAGUUAUCCUCGGUGUAAUUAAGUUGAAAAGAAAAGGCAACCCCUUUCCUUUUUCCUUCGUUAUUCUGUUUAGACCGUCCAAUCUUCCUUGUCAAGUUUGUUUCGGUUGUCUAAAUAACAUUCCAAUAUAAUUGCAUUGUAUUUAUUUUUGUAUGACCGACAGCUUGUUUGGGAGCGAUUUUUUACUCCAAAAAAUUGAUUUUUUGACCGUUAUUUCACUAUUUCAGCCAUCAUAUUUGAUUUUUUCUCUCACAGAUGAACUCCACUUUUCUCCUAAGGAUCAAAAAAUAAUUCUUAAAAUCACUCCCAAACAAACUCUGAAUAGCCAUAUUUAAUAAAAAAAUAAAUAAAUUAGAGGACACAAAACUUUGUAUUGGCAAAAAGUAAUUAGUUGGAAAAUUUUUCAAAUAAAAUGUCUAAUCAUAGGCAAAAAAGAGGGUAAAAGUCCAUUAAAUUUCGUAUCAAACGUAAUUUAUUUGUGGACGGAGGCGAAUGGUCGUGAGGGGCAAGGCAAGAAUCACAUCACAUGGAGAUGUAAUCUUGUGGUACCACCUGUAACUCUGUAACUAUUUCACACCAAACAGAACUGGCUUUUCUAUUGCAUUAUCUUGGUCUGCUUUAUGAUAAGCCCAAUUAUAGAUUGCCGCGUGUCAAUAGGUGUCGUGUUGCAAGAGAAAAUUAAAAGAGGAACGGCCAAGACUUUUCUUUGUUAGGCUUUUGAUGGGGACUUGGUGUCUGCCAAUGGAUGUCGUGGACGGCUUAGAUUUCUCCAGGUUAUUGUUGUCAUUGUGGGUGGGCCCGGUUGGUUCUUAUCGCAUUUAUGUUGCUCGAAAAUGUUGCAUUUGGAAUAUAGAACUCGAAGUUGGUGUUCAUAUUUUAAAGUAGUUGUUGGUACAGACUAGAGUAAAUUUCAUUUGCUUUCACUAAAAUUUUAUUGGAUCGUUAUAUUUUAAUUUUGAAUUUUACCAUAUCGUUACUCAUAGUAUUUGAAAUUGCUGAAUUUUUUAAAUUGAAUAUUGAUGAUCCCAAAUCUUGUCAAUCCCGAACUCGAUUCAUGAACCCCGAUCUUAAUACCCCCUAAAACUACCAAACCGAGGUCGGGCAUGUGAGGUCGGGUCUGUAUGUCAACUCGACAAUUCUUCUAUAUGAUCUAUGAGAACACUAAUCAUACUUUGACCACAACUCUUACCCUUUUUGACUCCUUCGACUCCAACAAUGAUUGAACACUUGGAAUGAAACACUAACUCCUUAUCCUACGAGGAUAAGGAUAACACAUGGGUGAGUCCUUCUAGGACCCUAUCGUCAAUACAUAACUUGGGCUCAUUCUUGAGGUAUGUUUUUCAUUAUCUCCAAUUUAUAACCUCACGCACUAAAUUCCCUAUCUGACUUAAGUAUCGGAGGGGCGACAAGUACAUACCUCGUUGCCUUUAUUUCAGGUAUUCAAAGAUCGUUCGUGUUCAUUCAAGCUCGAAGUUCGAUCAUCAAACUCGAGAUUAUUCAGGUACAAUUUUUUGGUAGCAUCAUUGACGUCGUCUGUGGGAAACGCUACCAAAAGCCAUGGUCAAUACACGUUCAGGUCUUCAUCCAGCAAGCUCAUCCGUCCCGGAUAACCUUCCUCCUCCUGGGGAACGUCAUGUCCCUCAAGAAGAAUCGUCGAAAAUGCCAGCACCUCCUCAAACUGUUGUUUCCGCCGGAGCUUUUGAGAAACUUCGCCAGCAGGUGGCUGCAUUUACCCAAUUGUUAAGCCAGAGAAAUUCGCACUCGUCGCAUACCCUAGCCCCCGAAGGUGGUUUUAUGGCUGACACUCGGGCUCGAGUCUGUCGUACAGCUCAUGAUGACAGCGGGCUUGGAACUUCAGGUGCAUCGCAAGUGGCUUCAAGUUCAAGGUUCGAUACAAUGGACUCCGCUGAACUUACUAGAAUUAUUCAAGAAAGGAUAGCAGCGGGUAUGCAACAAAAUACUCAGGCAGCAAUAGGGUUCACCCCCAAUACGCCAUUCACUCCGAAAGUCCUCUUGCAUCCCUUCCUCAACAGGUUCAAGUAUCAUCGGAUAAAGGAGUACGAUGGGACACCUGACCCUAUCAAUCAUCUCAUUGUGUACACGGAUAUCAUGAACUUACAAGUUGCACCUGAUGCAGUAAUGUGCAAGGCAUUCCCUCAGACCCUCACAAACGCAGCUAGAGAUUCACAUUAGAACCGAACUCUAUCGCCUCCUUCUCAGAUUUGGCCAAUAAGUUCUCCCCUCUCUUUACGAGCAGCGAGCGAAUCAGAAAGACAGCUGCAUCACUCAUGCAGAUGCGUCAAGGACUCAAUGAAACACUGCGCAGUUUCAUGACCAGGUUCAAUAAAGAAAGGUUUCAGAUCCCCGAUCUACAUAUCACCGCUGCAGUCUCAACUCUGACAUACGCCAUUAAGUGUGAAGCAUUCAAGAUGUCCUUGUCCAAGACCCCGCUAAAGUCAAUCACCGAGCUACUCACGCGAGCUGAGAAGUACAUCAAUAUGGAAGAAACCAUGGCCCCAAAAAGAGAAGUUUCCUCAUUAGGAGGCUGGAUCCGAAAAGGCCGCAUGAGUCCAGUCUGAGACAAGAUACACCUUGGGUCAAGCCAAGGCAGGACCCCUCCUCAACAUCUUUUACCCGUUUGAGCACCUCGAGGUCCAACAUUCUGAUGGAGAUCAAGGAUUCGAGGGAACUGAAAUGGCCUUCCCCCGAUACUCGUGACAAGAGUAAGUACUGUGAUUUCCAUAGAGAUCAUGGACAUAAAACGGAAGACUGUUUGGCCUUGAAGCGAGAGAUUGAAGCUCUUAUAAAAAGGGGAUUUUUGGGCUCUUACAUUAGCAGUGACAAGCGCCCGAGGAAUAAUCAGAACAGAGACAAAGGCCCAAAGGGUCGGGGAAACAAGCAAUCAAUUGCAUGUACUAUUAAUAUCAUUGUCGGAGGAACAACCACAGGGAGAGAUUCUAGCAGAGAGCGUAAACAAUAUGCCAGGCAGCCUCCAAUAAUCUCAAGAUCAGAUCUUGGUUGUACAGAGGAUAUCACUUUUGGAACGGAGGACUUGGAAGGCAUAGCGUUCCCUUAUGACGAUGCUCUGGUCAUAUCGGCCAUCAUCGUCAACUUUGAAGUCAAGAGAAUUCUUAUAGACAACGGAAGAAUAGCUAAUGUACUAUCUCAUGAAAACUUUGUUCAAAUGGGGAUCUCAUCGGAGCAGUUCAAGCCAGUCAAAACACCCCUCCAAGGAUUUAGAGGUGGGGUCAUCACCCCAGAAGGUAUCAUCGGGCUGCCUUUAACAUUGGGGGCAGAAGGUAAACAGGUGACGUAGAUAACCACCUUUGAAGUUGUCCGUACUCCAAUAGCCUACAACGCCAUAUUGGGAAGAUCAUUGCUCAAUAGAACUCGAGCUAUUGUCUUAACUUUUCACUUGGCAAUGAAAUUUCCUACAAGUAAUGGAAUUGGGGUAGUUCGAGGCAGCAAAACAGUGGCACGACAGUGUUAUAUGACUAGUGUCCGGAGAAUCAAGGGCAACGUCAUGCAAGUUACAGACCUCGAGCUCGAGCACGAGAUCCAUGAGAGACUUGCUCCAGUGGAGGGAUUGGAAGAGGUCGAGCUCAAGCCUGGAAAGAAAGUGAUAAUCGGAUGGGAGUUAGAUACAGUAGUCAUGCCUGAACUACUGAGUUCUCUCUCCCGCAACAUCGAUAUAUUCGCUUGGAAUGUUGAGGACAUGCUUGGAAUCGAACCAGAGGUUGCGGUGCACAAACUUAAUGUAAAUCCUGGGACAAGACUUGUAAAGCAAAGCAAAAGGCAAUUUGCACCAGAACGACGAAAAGUCAUAAAGGAGGAUAUUGCCAAACUUGUUAACGCACAGUUCAUUCGCGAAGUAUAAUAUCCCGAUUGGCUUGCUAACAUUAUUCUUGUCAAGAAAGCUAAUGGGAAGUGGCGAGUCUGAAUUGACUUCACAGAUUUGAAUAAAGCAUGUCCCAAAGACAGUUAUCCUUUACCUCGAAUUGGCAAUCUUGUGGAUAACACGUCGAGUCAUAUGUUGUAUAGUUUCUUGGAUGCUUUUUCGGGGUAUCACCAAAUACUCAUGGCGGAAGAAGAUCAAGAGAAGACCUUAUUCAUGGCAGACUCAGCCAUCUAUUGUUACAGGAUCAUGCCCUUUGGACUGAAGAAUGCUGGAGCAACGUAUCAAAGGUUGGUAAACAAGAUCUUCGUCGAGUUAAUCGAGAAAAUGGUCGAAGCAUAUGUGGAUGAUAUGGUGGUUAAGAACAAACAGGUGAAUGGCCAUGUCUCUGAUCUUGAAGAAGUGUUUGCCAAGUUACAAAGGUACAACAUGAAGCUCAACCAUGCAAAGUGUGCGUUUGGGGUGGCAUCUGGAAAGUUCUUGGGUUUUAUGAUCAGACACAGAGGAAUAGAGGCAAGUCCUGAUAAGAUCCAAGCCCUGAUAAGGAUGGAGGCCCCUAAAUGCAAAAGGGACAUUCAGAAGUUGACUAGUCGCGUAGUAGCACUGAAUAGGUUUGUUUCCCGGGCAGCUGACAAAUGUUUCACCUUUUUCAAACUACUUAGGGGAAAUCAAAGCUUUAACUGGAACGAGGAAGCAACUUAGCUUUUCAAGAGGUUAAGCAGACGUUAUCAACACCUCUAGUCCUUACUAAACCCGAACUCGAUGAAACGUUGCUAUUAUACUUGGUCGUUUCUCAUAAUGCAGUAAGCGGGGUCUUGGUGAAGGAGAAAGGAAGAGUUCAGCAGCCUAUCUAUUAUGUAAGUAAAGUACUCCUUGAUGCAGAGACACGAUACACACUUGUAAUA
rnacentral:lncRNA from 1 species